rnacentral:rRNA from 1 species
ACUUUGAUUAUGGCUCGGGAUGAACGCUGGCGGCAUGCCUAACACAUGCAAGUCGAGCGAGAAGCUUAGGAAAGAGCCUUCGGGUGAUGGAAUAAGCGGAAAGCGGCGGACGGGUGAGUAACGCGUGGGUAACCUGCCCUAUGGAGGGGGAUAACGUUUUGAAAAGAACGCUAAUACCGCAUAAGCGCACAGUAUCGCAUGGUACAGUGUGAAAAACUCCGGUGCCAUAGGAUGGACCCGCGUCAGAUUAGCUAGUUGGUGGGGUAAAGGCCUACCAAGGCGACGAUCUGUAGCCGACCUGAGAGGGUGAUCGGCCACAUUGGGACUGAGACACGGCCCAAACUCCUACGGGAGGCAGCAGUGGGGGAUAUUGCACAAUGGGGGAAACCCUGAUGCAGCAAUGCCGCGUGAAGGAAGAAGGUUUUCGGAUUGUAAACUUCUAUCAGCAGGGAAGAAAAUGACUGUACCUGACUAAGAAGCCCCGGCUAACUACGUGCCAGCAGCCGCGGUA